ensembl:lncRNA
CUAAUGGAGUAAUAAUGGAUUAUUUCUUUAAAAAUGUAUCUGCUUAACAAUCCACUGUCCACUGAUAUGGUUUUAAAGCUCUUGUUAUCCAAUGUUUUAUCUCCAAACGACUUUAAAUGCACUUGGAUAAAACCAACAAUCGUACUUGCAUGUCCCACAACCUCGCUAGCAAGCUCACAUUAUUUUGGACCUCUGCAUUUCUAAAUACAGAGGUACGUUCACGUUUGUGAGACUAAUUAUCAUGUUGUGUUUGAUGUCUGAAAGCAACUCCAUUAUGCCAACGUUAGCUUACAAGAAGUGAUUAACGGCUGAUUUGGAUAUAUUUCAAACAAAGUAGGCUGAACCAAGCAACCUAGUGUGGAACCUUACCUGGGAAAGAAAUAUGAACAAACAAGAUAGUUCCUUUUAUUACUCAACUCAAUUACAAUGUUGGCGAAACUACUGUCUGUGUUUGGUGAGUCGAACAAUCAUUUUAAAGUCAAAAGUGUUCUCGACACAGCAAUUUUACCCAGGAUGCACCGGUUGGUAUCUUGUAGGAACUUGGCAGCACAAAUACCCAAGAAUUAAUUUUGGCGUUUUAGCAAAAAGCGGCAAGCAGCAGAGCAGAAGAAUAAGGCAUCGUUUUUUUUUAAACUAUCGUAUGCAUUCAAAUUCUAUUGAUUAGUUUUUCAGAGCAUGUCAGGAAUCGAUCUGCUGUUCUCAUACGGCGAUUUUUGUGAGAUGAUUGUGUAACUAAUGAAUAGCACGUCCAAGGUAACGAUCAUGUUCUGUAAGAUGUCUGAAAGCAGCUCCGUUAUGCCAAGGUUAACUUAUGAGUGAUUAACGUCUGAUUUGGAUCUAAUUCAAGCAAAGAGUUUGAACCAAGAAAAGGAAUCUUUAACCCCAAACAAGUAAAGAAAUAUGAACAAUCUAUAGUUUAUAUCAUUGCUUAUGGUAUGUUUGGCAGAUAUAGGGCAUGAAAAUGAUCAUGGUAAAACAAGAAAAAAGGUAUCUGUAAAAACUACAAUUGCUCUGAACAGGCAGUUUGCUGUCCAGCAAACUGCUGCUGGACAGCAGUUUAAGUCAUAAAGGGACAGGGGACACACAUCAUGUUUUAUAAAGGAGGUUGAGGACCUUCACAGGCCGAAAUACAAUAUUUAAUAAAACACCAAUUUCAGGCCGAUACGAACCCUUGUCCACAUUAUCCUCAAUAUCAAAGUGUGUCAUUCAGGGAAAUACUAUCAACCAUACUCAGUGGAGAAGGAGGAUCCAGGUAUUCAGUUGUAGUCACUGAGAUAUGCAAUGCAACACGCUAAAACAGACAGAAUAAUUUGUAAGAAGGGGAAAGUUGGUCUGAUUUCAGUAAUAUUUUUCUCAUGUGAAAGCAUACAAGUCUAAUUAUACUUUUAACAUAGAGAGAGAGAGAGAGAGAGAGAGAGAGAGAGAGAGAGAGAGAGAGAGAGAGAGAGAGAGAAAAUAAGUAGAUUGGCAAACACAGAGCUUGCGUGUUGUUGAAGGAUGUCACAAGCUCUGUGUUCGCCAAUCUGCCUAUCGAGUCUUAAAGACAAGAUGGCGUCGACGGGUGAACUACUGAUGGUAUUGUGUAUAUAAAAUUUCCUUUUUAAUAAACAAUCAGUGCACUUACAAAGUUAUCAAUGCCUCGUUUUAUAUGUUAAGACCCUUAUUAUACUACCAAAGAAGUGUCGGGCUAUUUCUAGCCUUGUAAGUGGUUUAAAAUAGCGAUUUAGUUUUUACCAUGAGACAUGCCCCUAUCGUUCCAAGUUUAUAGCGUUUUGGUAGAAUGGGCUAAAUACAGCCAACUUCAGAAAGCGUCUAUGUGCGCUUUUUUGCUCCCAAACGAACAUUCCAGCUCGUUAUCAUACUAAACAUAUCCCAGAUCUUUUUGACACCGGAUUUCUCCUUUAACAUAAACAUUAACCUACUCAGUAGGCCUGCCCCGACGUGAGUCUGACAUGACGAUUGGUCUUUCCUUUCCUUCUCAAACUACGUUACAAUUGCAUGUUCAUCAGCCCGAUUUUCUAAUUUUCUCGGGGAGAAACCCAGAGAAAAUGAAAUGUCAGAUGAAUGAAGAACGUCUACUUUAGGGGAAGAUAAAACAACUGUAUGCCGUAGCGCACGGGGGGGCCGUCCCGGUGAGCUGUCCUCGUCUCUGCCCCUCAAAACGACUGCUAGUGACGGGACGCUGGCAAAGGGAGAAGUUCUUGUCUGGUUCGCCUGUCCACCAGGCGCAGGAUUGGUCUCUGACUCUUCCCAUCACUUUUCCGGCACCAGAUCUGGGAAAGUUUUAAGAAAGAACACAACAGCAGCGAAGGACGACAAAAUGCUCCCCUCCGCCUCCGCUCAAACAUGUGACAUCAACUUUGACAGUGGUGAUGACUCCACAGAUACCCCCCAUGUCUCUGAACCGA